UACGUAGGGUGCAAGCGUUAAUCGGAAUCACUGGGCGUAAAGGGCGCGUAGGCGGCCGAUUAAGUCGGGGGUGAAAGCCUGUGGCUCAACCACAGAAUUGCCUUCGAUACUGGUUGGCUUGAGACCGGAAGAGGACAGCGGAACUGCGAGUGUAGAGGUGAAAUUCGUAGAUAUUCGCAAGAACACCAGUGGCGAAGGCGGCUGUCUGGUCCGGUUCUGACGCUGAGGCGCGAAAGCGUGGGGAGCAAACAGG
rnacentral:rRNA from 1 species